UCCUGCGUUGGUUUCCGAAUGUGACGGUAAUUGGCCCCCAAUGAGUCCUAAUUUUCGCCUCUCACGAAUUUACGGUGUUAGGUUGGCGUGGAAGUACUUUCCAUUGUCUUUGGAUGCUAUGCCCUUUGGCGUUGCAAUCUUGGGCCAUGGGUUGGUGCUAGUUCCCUCGGAUGCAGAACCUUUGAAGGGUGCACAGCAUAUUUUUGUUGUUACCCCCAAAGCGUUCAUGGCUCGAUGUGUACGACGGCCGUGCCCGCCUCUGUCCCGUCUUUAACUCAUUUUGGAUGGGGCGUAUGCGGUGCUGGCGUCACGAAGGAAUGCUACCUGGUUGAUCCUGCCAGUAGUCAUAUGCUUGUCUCAA
rnacentral:misc_RNA from 1 species